rnacentral:lncRNA from 1 species
UAUUUAAAUUUAGUUAAAAAGAAUUUCGGUAAAAAUGGAGGAGAAACGAUAGAAAAUCUCGAGGGAAGGAUCCCACCUGUGCAGGAUCUACUUGCAGCUCGAGUGUGUGCGCGCGGCCAGCACAAGACCAGUGCUUGUGUGCACGUCCCAUCCGUGUGGUCAGCAUGGGCAUCUCAUUGCAUGCAGACAAGUGUUACUCUGUGUGCCCUAUGCUCGUGCUAUCCGUGUAAUAGGCCUGCGCAUAGACAGGCGCGGCUUU